rnacentral:rRNA from 1 species
UGGGGAAUAUUGCACAAUGGGGAAAGCCCUGAUGCAGCGACGCCGCGUGAAGGAAGAAGUAUCUCGGUAUGUAAACUUCUAUCAGCAGGGAAGAAAAUGACGGUACCUGACUAAGAAGCCCCGGCUAACUACGUGCCAGCAGCCGCGGUAAUACGUAGGGGGCAAGCGUUAUCCGGAUUUACUGGGUGUAAAGGGAGCGUAGACGGAGCAGCAAGUCUGAUGUGAAAGGCGGGGGCUCAACUGUAAAAUUGCAAUUGAUACUGGCAGUCUUGAGUACAGUUGAGGUAGGCGGAAUUCGUGGUGUAGCGGUGAAAUGCUUAGAUAUCACGAAGAACUCCGAUUGCGAAGGCAGCUUACUAAACUGCCACUGACAUUGAUGCUCGAAAGUGUGGGUAUCAAACAGGAUUAGAUACCC